rnacentral:rRNA from 1 species
AGAGUUUGAUCAUGGCUCAGAAUCAACGCUGGCGGCGUGCCUAACACAUGCAAGUCGAACGCGGUUUUCCCGCAAGGGAAAACUGAGUGGCGAACGGGUGAGUAACACGUGGGUGACCUACCUUCGAGUGGGGGAUAACGUCCCGAAAGGGACGCUAAUACCGCAUAACAUCCUGCUCUUGAACGAGCGGAGAUCAAAGCCGGGGAUCGUAAGACCUGGCGCUUGAUGAGGGGCCCGCGUCCGAUUAGCUAGUUGGUGAGGUAAUGGCUCACCAAGGCAACGAUCGGUAGCCGGCCUGAGAGGGCGGACGGCCACACUGGGACUGAGACACGGCCCAGACUCCUACGGGAGGCAGCAGUGGGGAAUUGUUCGCAAUGGGCGCAAGCCUGACGACGCAACGCCGCGUGGAGGAUGAAGGUCUUCGGAUUGUAAACUCCUGUUGCCAGGGACGAAUGGCCACGACCUAACACGUCGUGGUGUGACGGUACCUGGUGAGGAAGCCCCGGCUAACUCUGUGCCAGCCGCCGCGGUAAUAC